CCUACGGGAGGCAGCAGUGGGGAAUAUUGCACAAUGGGGGAAACCCUGAUGCAGCGACGCCGCGUGAGUGAAGAAGUAUUUCGGGAUGUAAAGCUCUAUCAGCAGGGAAGAAACCCACCCUACGGGGUGGCUGACGGUACCUGACGAAGAAGCCACGGCUAACUACGUGCCAGCAGCAGCGGUAAGACGGAGGGGGCAAGCGUUAUCCCGAUUUACUGGGUGUAAAGGGGGCGCUAGCGGCGUUGCAAGCCAAGAGGGAAAGCCCGGGGCCCAACCCCGGGACUGCCCUUGGAACUGCGUGCCUUGAGUGCAGGAGAGGCAGGCGGAAUGCCUGGUGUAGCGGUGAAAUGCGUAGAUAUCAGGAGGAACACCGGUGGCGAAGGCGGCCUGCUGGCCUGCAACUGACGUUGAGGCCCGAAGGCGUGGGGAGCAAACAGGAUUAGAUACCCGAGUAGUC
rnacentral:rRNA from 1 species